rnacentral:rRNA from 1 species
GGAAUUUUCCGCAAUGGGCGAAAGCCUGACGGAGCAACGCCGCGUGAGGGAUGAAGGCCUCUGGGCUGUAAACCUCUUUUAUCAAGGAAGAAGAUCUGACGGUACUUGAUGAAUAAGCCACGGCUAAUUCCGUGCCAGCAGCCGCGGUAAUACGGGAGUGGCAAGCGUUAUCCGGAAUUACUGGGCGUAAAGAACGCGUAGGCGGCGUCGUAAGUUGGAGGUGAAAACUCUGGGCCUAACCUGGAGCCUGCCUUCAAAACUGCGAUGCUAGAGUUUCGGAGAGGAAAGCGGUAUUCCAUGUGUAGCGGUGAAAUGCGUAGAUAUCGGGAGGAACACCAAUAUGGCGAAGGCACUGUACUGGGCUUUACCUGACGCUCAGAGACGAAAGCUAAAGGAGUGAUUAGGAUUAGAUACCCCAGUAGUC